AGGAUUCUCCUAGUAACGGCGAGUGAACGGAGAUUAGCCCGUCACCGAAGUCCGGUGCUUUUGCAUGCAGGACAAUGUGGUGUUUAGGCGUGUGCCUGGGAUUGUGUUCCUACUCCAAGUCCAACUCCGAUUGUGGCGUGGAUAUUCCCCAGAGCGGGUGAAAGGCCCCUCCGAGUAGGCUAUUGCAUACAUAAACACAGUCCUCAGAUGCACAUGCUAUCGAGUCGGAUUGCUUGAGAAUGCAGUCCAAAUCGGGUGGUAAACUCCAUCCAAGGCUAAAUACUGGCGCGAGUCCGAUAGUAGACAAGUACCGUGAGGGAAAGUUGAAAAGUACUCUGAAGAGAGAGUAAAUAGUACGUGAAGCCAUUUGCAGGGAAGCUGGUGGAGUCAAGCUUCGUGCUUGAGAAAUUGUAAUCAGCAUCGUUGUGUGUUCGAGGUGUGGUAAUGUGUCAAUAUGGAAAGUAUUGGGCGUAUUUGUGCGCUUCAAGACAAUCCGGGUUGCAUGUAUGAGCAUAUUGCCGUUUCACUCGAUGCUGGUUAUCUAUUUCUCUACUCGCACAAAUCACGGUCGACGAGUGUGUGCUUGAUGAUCGUCUAACAGUGCUUUGAUGGGCCUUGCGCUUAUCGGGUAUUGAAUGGCAGGUCUUGGUCUUGAGUUUUCCGACUCAUUGAUCGAAUAUAGUGGUUUUGACCAGCUGACUUUCAUUGAGUAUCGCACUUGUCGUGUUUGAAUGGCGUGUAGUUACGUAACUGCAUACUAGUAACAACCGUGAUCCUGAGGUAGA
rnacentral:rRNA from 2 species